AGGUUGAAGAAAGAGUGAAAAUGGUUGCUGGAUGAGCCAGAGGAAAAAGAAACUGCUUUUUUAUACAUGAAACAACCUUUAUGAUAGGUCAUUACCAAUGCAGAAAUAUUUUGUCUAUUACUGACACCAGUAAAGGGACUCUGAAAAUCUGUUAAACAAUGGCUGUCAUGUUACCUUAUGUAAUGGCUAAUGGCUAUUAUUUGAAACCUUGGUAUUUUGUAAAUUGUCACUUUCUGCUUGAGAGAUACUAGCUGUUGUUUUACGCCUUAUACAUUCAAAUUAUAACUAGUGCAGACUCAAUUAUUUACUCAGCAUCUUGAUGAAUGUUUAUUUUGCCUUGUCUGCAAUCAUUCUUUGUGCUAUUUGAAAAAUUGAUGAUUCUUUAUAUUAAUCUGCUUUUCUAUGAUGGUUCACUA
rnacentral:misc_RNA from 1 species